CAUUUUAUAAAAACACAUGUUAAAAUAUUAUUAGCUCACGGAGGAAUUUACUAUACACAUUACACCAUGCCAUUUUGACCUGCAGUAGCAGUUUAAAAAAAAUCAAAAAACAUAUAUAUUAGUAAAUUAGUUAAUGAAGGAUUAGGUUAAUUAGUGAAUAAAUUAUCCUCCUCCUUCCUCAACCCAUCAUCUUCUCCCACCCCAUGAGAAACCCAGCACCACUGAUUAUUCUCCUCCUUGCACUCACCCACAAACCCAGAACCCACCCCCUUCAUCCCUGCCGCAACCCCACAACCACCCCCCACCGAACUUCACCCAUCCCCAUUGCAACCCACAACCGAAAAUCGACCCCCAACCUCAAUCUGGGUUCGUCGCCGUCAUCAACAACGCUCAACGCUCUCGGAAUCCUCAAAUGUCGUCGCCGUCAUCUGGGUUUAGGGUUCUGCAGCAGUGGUGAAGACUGAACCACCACCACCACUAAUUUGCCCUGCAUCGGCUUUGCACUUGGUGGCUCUGACGGAGAUCGAAGCGGAGGAGGCGUAUGAAGACCAGAUCGAGGAAGACUUUUAGAGUGGCUACAGGGAGUGGGUUUAGCUGCGAGUUUGGGGAGUAAGAUGGUUGUGUGGUGGCCGGAAGUUUCAGGUGAAGGUUGAGUGUGAUGGUUCACGGUGGUCAGAGGGGAGGUUAGGGAAGGAAGAGUAGUGUCGGUGGCUGCUGGGUUUUUGGUGGUGGUGGUCGUUGGCUUCAACUCUCUACAAAGGAGGUAUGGAGUUGUUUUUGUGUGCCAAAGAGAAAGUAAUGUGAUUCAAUGCCCUUCAGAUUUUAUGAUUAUUUGCGUUUUCUCUUGAAGAUGAUGAUAUUAUAUCCAUUGAAGCUUCAAAUCGACCCAGAAGUUGAAGGCUCUGUUGAGGGUUAAUGCUUCUCCGAUCUGGGUUUCUGUUGAGGACUUUUGUUUAUGUUGAGGGCUAAGCUUGAUAUUACAUCCAUAGGUUAAUUUGCUGAGUUUGAUGGGUUAAAAAGCUUUAAGCUUGAAGCUUUGUCUGAGGAAUGAAGAAGUUGGAUGAUGAACAUGGAUUUGAGGAUGAAGAGGAACCUAGAUGAGCUUAACUUAAAUUAAGGAUAAAUGUUUUUUUUCUAAAUUAAUUAAAGAUAAAUGUUUAAUUAAGAAAAUAUUUAUUUGGAUUAUUUUUUAAAACCUGUUAUAGUGGGUCAAAAUAGCCUAGUGUAACUUUACACAAGUUUUUAGGUGAUCAUAGUAAAUUUUUCCGUAGCUCACUCAAUAUAAAACGAAUUUACUUAGAAUAAUUUAAACAAGCACAUUUUUAUCAUGUCAGCUAGGUCUCUACGUACACCACCUGUUGUGAGACUUUUUCUUUUAUAAAAUUUUCUUUUGGUACAAGACGCAAAGAAAAACUAGGACUGACUUGUAAGAGUUAUAACACCUGAAUAAUUCGCAAAAGAAAAGCUGAAAUGCCAAUAGGAAAUGGCGGAAGUAGAAAAAAAUUUAAGGGUCUAAAAUAAUUUUUCAUUACAAAAAUUCAAAUAUGUUUAUUAGCAACGCACACAUAUCUUAAUCUUAAUAAUAUAUAAAGCCCAUCCACCAAAGUGGGCCACAUUGUUAUUUAA